GGGGCUGUAGCUCAGUGGCAGAGCGCUUGCCUAGCAUGCAUGAGGCACUGGGUUCGAUCCUCAGCACCA
rnacentral:tRNA from 1 species